ACUACGCCCCUUCUGCUACUGAGGCUGCUGCUUCGGGAUGCCCACUUGGAAGCCGUGCGGAUUUCCCGGACAAGCCGGCGGGCUAGGGAGGCUCCCUCGGAAGGAAAAAGUAAGACGUGGGAGGGGAAUGAAAACUUUGCUCAAGUCGCUCCUAACUUCGGCCUUGAGACCGCAGCGAUGAUUGACAGACGGGACUUUUAAAAAGAUGAGAGAUUCCGGAUUUCCUUUCAGGACAAAGGGAAAGCGGAGCGGUUGUUAAAUAACUCACUUUCCUGACUGUGUAUGCAAGUGGGAAUACAUUUCUGAACCGUACAAAAUUUUGGCACUCUUAAUCGAAGAUCUACCCUGUAUAAGUCACAUGGAAAGUCCCGCUAACGAGUCCGACUGGUUUAAGGUGUGGUGCGCUUCAAAUAUACUGAAGGUAAACGAAAUAUGCCAAAGAUCUGUAAAUGGAACUGUGGGAUAUGUGAAAGUCACGACUUCAGGAGCACAGAUCAAUAAUUCAUGACAAAGAAUGUUGUUGAAGCCAUGCAGAAGAUUGUAGAUGUUCACUGAAGAAAUUAGAAGACAUUUCAUUCUAUCUCUCUAAUGAUUGUUUGAUCUGUAACUCCAUUAAAUAUUCCUUCCAUAUCAA